AUUGAAGGAUCUAAUAUUUGCAUUCAUGUGUAAUGGAUAUAUACAAUUUGGUCUACUCGUGCAUGAUGCAUUCAUCUCAGUGAUGGUAGUCGGAAUUUGAUGGCCGGUUCGGAUAGGAAUGACGGGAUGCAAAUGUGUAUUGCGGGCCGGCCAACAAUCUUUUUUUUUUGCCAAGUUAAAUCAUUUUUGACAGUCUAGACGCUCCAAUUGACAUAUUCAAUUAGACCUCAUGCAAAUGAAUUGAUGCAGUAUUAAGCUUUUGUUCAAAGAAUCUUACGCUUUAUGUAUUGCACUGCCGGUCUGCAGUCAAACUCCUGCUCCCCUCAGGCAUAGAUAUUGUCCAAAUCAUUUGCUUGGAGCUUAGUAGUAGGCUUUGACACACUUAUGUUUAUUAAGAUGAUUUUGGUACGUGCUUUGCUCUCGAUGAGACCAUUUUUUCCGGUAGCAAUGCACACGCAGCCCCGAGCCCAAGAUGGUAAGCUGCAGCAUCCUUGGCCGAUGGCUCAUUACGACCUCACCAAAGGCGAAGAUGAGACGGCUUGCCACAUCAUCAUAGGCAAAGGAGAGGUGGGGCUUAAAGGAUUGGUGUGGGGUGCGGGAGGCAAUGUUUUAAAUAGCGGCCGAACGCUAUUGCGGCCGCAAUAGCGGUAGCGCAGGCCACCCGCUACAAGUCGAAAGCUGCGCUGGGUAAUAGAGUGAUUGGCACGAUGCGGCCGAUAUAUGGGCUGUCAGACCGCAAUAGCGGCCCUUUGUGUAGCGCCAGUUGCGGGCAUAGCGGAAAGCUUAAAAAAUUAGACCACCAAUCCUCUUAUCCGGUUAUCCCAUCCCCUUCUCCUGGCGAUGGGCGGCUGGCACUUCCCUGGCGGCGGCGCGCGGCUAACGCCGGUGGCCGGAUGGAGAGGCAAAUCCAGGCUCACCGUCACCGGAUGCCGCCGCUCCCCUAGCCCCAUCUUCCCCUGCUGGUCUUUGAGGGAGCAGCCAGCACAACGGCCACCUCGUCGCUCUUGCUCGACGACUUUCCCUGUUGGACGAUUGGCCGGUGCGGGACAACACGGCAAGCCGGCGGGCAGUACCUCGCUGGUCCCUGUUCGACGCCCUACUAGUCGACGUCCCAAUGCAGCCCGUCCGCACCUCCUCGCUUGACGACUACUUCUUGGUAAUUCAGUCAACUAUCUGCACAUGUAAUUAAGAAGACCAAGAAGUGUACAUGGAUCUGAAUGGAGAAGAGGAUGAGGAUUGCGAAUGACUUGUGCAUCUUCCAUGAUCAGAACCGGAUCUGUUUAUUUUUGCGUGAUGGUCGUGGUCUCACUUGUAUGGUUGCAUCGUCCAUGGUCAGAACUGGAUCUGUUUAUUUUUGCAUGAUGGUCGUGGUCCGACUUGUAUGGUUGGUUGGUAGUCUUUGUUUGCAUGGUUACAUGGUUGAAUAUUGUACAAUGGACUAAUUGUAGUGUAUAUGUGUUGUGUCAUACUGAUAGUUUUUGUUUGCAUGGUUGAAUAUUGUCCAAAUGGACUAGUUACAGUCUAUAUGCUUAUAUAAAUGAUGAUUAUUCAA